CCUAGGGAAGCGUUUUGUCCACGUCAGCAAAGCGCGCCCCUCAAGGACGCGAUUUCUGCUGACGUGGACAAAACGCUUCCCUGGGG
rfam:Gossypium hirsutum cultivar TM-1 unplaced genomic scaffold scaffold516.1, whole genome shotgun sequence